rnacentral:rRNA from 1 species
AGUGAACGCUGGCGGUAGGCCUAACACAUGCAAGUCGAACGGCAGCACAGUAAGAGCUUGCUCUUACGGGUGGCGAGUGGCGGACGGGUGAGGAAUACAUCGGAAUCUACUUUUUCGUGGGGGAUAACGUAGGGAAACUUACGCUAAUACCGCAUACGACCUACGGGUGAAAGCAGGGGAUCUUCGGACCUCGCGCGAUUGAAUGAGCCGAUGUCGGAUUAGCUAGUUGGCGGGGUAAAGGCCCACCAAGGCGACGAUCCGUAGCUGGUCUGAGAGGAUGAUCAGCCACACUGGAACUGAGACACGGUCCAGACUCCUACGGGAGGCAGCAGUGGGGAAUAUUGGACAAUGGGCGCAAGCCUGAUCCAGCCAUACCGCGUGGGUGAAGAAGGCCUUCGGGUUGUAAAGCCCUUUUGUUGGGAAAGAAAAGCAGCAGGUUAAUACCCCGCUGUUCUGACGGUACCCAAAGAAUAAACACCGGCUAACUUCGU